ACAACACUGUAUGUAGUUCAUAGUUGUAUACUGAAUACGAUUCAUACAUUCAACACUGUAUAUAGUUCAUUGUUGAAUCUAUGAAUCGUAUUCAGUCUACAACACUGUAUAUAGUUUGUAGUUGAAUCUAUGAAUCGUAUUCAGUCUACAACACUGUAUAUAGUUCAUUGUUGAAUCAAUGAAUCGUAUUCAGUCUAUAACACUGUAUAUAGUUCAUAGUUGAAUCUAUGAAUCGUAUUCAGUCUACAACACUGUAUAUAGUUCGUAGUUGAAUCUAUGAAUCGUAUUCAGUCUACAACACUGUAUAUAGUUCAUAGUUGAAUCUAUGAAUCGUAUUCAGUCUACAACACUGUAUAUAGUUCAUAGUUGAAUCUAUGAAUCGUAUUCAGUCUACAACACUGUAUAUAGUUUGUAGUUGGAAGAGAGAGAGAGAUACGUCCUCUGAGCCUCCUACACUCAGGUACGCGCUGAGAGAGUGUCCAAUGUGUUGACGUGUACGACAGGAGAAGACAGAGACUAUGGAAGAGAGAGAGAGAGACGUCCUCUGAGCCUCCUACACUCAGGUACGCGCUGAGAGAGUGUCCAAUGUGUUGACGUGUAUCGACAGGAGAAGACAGAGACUAUGGAAGAGAGAGAGAGAGACGUCCUCUGAGCCUCCUACACUCAGGUACGCGCUGAGAGAGUGUCCAAUGUGUUGACUGUCUGAGCUUUACUCAUAUUCACUAUUAUUUUCACUGAGAGAAAAGAAAAAGCAUUUAAAACAUUUGUCAUCGUCUCUGCUAUGGAGACGUUCUA